UCUCUCCCCAAUCCCACCUCCUUCCUCCUGGCCCCUCCUCUCCCUCAUCUCCGAUGGCGGCCGGCAUGAUUCCCUCCUCCAUCCCCCCUUCACUCCAUCGUCUGCGCCUCCCGGAGCCUCGCCUUCGUCGCGGUCUACCUGGGCCACGAUGUGCUCGGAUGCAGCGCGCGCCUCUUCUAGGGCGCGGCCACCGACAUCCCCUCGCCCGCGCUGCCGCAUCUCUCCUCGUCGCCCCCAUCGUCGUGACUCUUCGGUCGGUCUACCAGGACGGCGCCGCUUGAUCCGCCGGAAGAUGCCCUACCAGUACGGCGCCGUCCGGACUCCGAUCCCGCCCGGACGCCGGCCACGCCCAAGCGCUGCGCCUCGGGAGAACUGUGCUCGUCCGAGCUCAUCGUCACGUACAAGCGCCGCCGCACAGCCAGAGAGGCGCCAACUCCGACUGCGGGACGCCUUGUGCCACCAUGGUGGUGUGCAGUCACAACUCUCGCCAAGGUGGGCAUCAGAUGUUGUCCACACAUUGGAUUACUCGGAGGGAUACAUUGGAGGGCUUCCUGCAAUGCCCAGGUGUAAAUAAGAGUGGGGGAUUCAGAGCUGCAUUCGUGAUGUGCUCAGAUACAAUUAUUGUCAGCACGUGCAAUAGGAAAAUUUGCAAAUUGAGUAUUUUGCAUGGAUAGCUGCUCGGAUGGCUUGGCGAUGCCCCAUCUAUGGUUCAAGUUCAGUGAUGACCGUGAUGCAUGGGGUCACCCCCUCCUUAUGCUGUAUCCACCAAGGAGUGAUUCUAGUCGUUGUUUGAUGGCAUUUGUGACCUUUCCACCUUUGAAGAACUUCAACUGAAUAACAGGUGACCGAAACGGUAUAUCAUGAAGAGGGUCUAAUCGCACGUCUCCAUUGCCUCAGAGGUUGAAAUCAAUCUUGAACUCUCGCGGUUACUAAUUCAUAAGACAUGGUUCACGCUGGAGUAAAAGAGGACAUUUGAUGAGCAGUCGUGGUGCGAGCUCACCCAUCGAUAAAACAAUGGCUUUGAUAGUUUAAUGCAAUCACCUGCAUUCCAUAUUGGGUUUCACUCGCCAUUUUCAAUAAGAACACACUUUGGUGAGCCAAGUGGACCACACCCCCCGUGAUUGAGGCAUGAGAGGCACUCAGGAAAUCUAUAGUGUAUUUUCGUGGCCAACCAGUUGGUACAGUUGUUGCGGUAGAUCAUGCAUGUGAGGAAAUGCUCAAUUAUGAUCAGGUAUAAUAAUGAUGAUUCUACAUUAUUCUGUGGUAUUUUGAGGAUAAUAUCUAUUAUAAACUGAUGAAACGGAAGGUUUUUGUCGGCGAUUUUGUUCCCACUGCAUUGGCUUUUCUGAUGAACAAAGAGCCUAGAAUAGUGAUGAACUCCCUAUUGAAAACUCUCCACUUGCAAAGCUCACGUUAAAUGGUAGACCAGUUCAAUCUUGGAGCAGGAGCUAUGCCUGCAAAUUUCAAGUCCAGCAAUUGAAGGCAAUAUUUGGCUCAUCCACUAGAAUCACAAAAGAUUAUACAUGGAGGUGCAUGUGCUGAAUAGUGUUCCCACUCUUCUUCGGCUUCAAGGAUUCCCCAAUGAUAGGUGCGCACAAAACUUUGUCCUUCGAUGCUGGAUAUCGCAGACAGAUAUCAGUUGGACUUUCCUAGAUUAUUUGGACUGGAUCUAUGUAUGCUUAAUUGUCACAUCGGUUUGAUCCGAACCACCCCAUCAUUCACUAAUCUUUCAACAGAGGUAAUUUAGUGUAUGCCUCAUGAUUAUUUGUUCUAAAUCAGUCUACCAUGACUCCAACAGAUAAGAGGUAACUUCUUUUCUUAACUAAAAUUGGCUUACACGUAUAAGCCCGUCCAAUGUGCUUGCAUUUCCCUUCGAUGAACCAGGUUAUGCACGGAAGCUGAGCGAGAGGAAGAAAACAUGCAACAAAAUUUUCCAACGGUGGUGAAUUUUGGUGAUGCGAGUUGGAGGUGAAUGAUAUUUCUAUGUUGUUUGUGUACGCCGGGUUCUGAAGAUCGUGUUGAUUCCUUUCAUUGGUGUCCUGUAAAUAUGACCUAAGUGACCGUUGCGGCGGUGUUUCUAUGCACCUUAUGUGCAUGGAGCUUCUACUAUUGCGCCAUGCUCGAUUUAUGUGUUUGCCAUUUUGAUCCAUUUUGCUUUAGGCAAAGCAUUUUUCUAAAA